UAGUAGCAAUACUAGAGACCGGCGCACGGGUGCGUAACGCGUAUGCAAUCUGCCUUUCACAGAGGGAUAGCCCAGAGAAAUUUGGAUUAAUACCUCAUAGUAUAUUUAUGUGGCAUCACAUGAUUAUUAAAGAUUUAUCGGUGAAAGAUGAGCAUGCGUCCCAUUAGCUAGUUGGUAAGGUAACGGCUUACCAAGGCAACGAUGGGUAGGGGUCCUGAGAGGGAGAUCCCCCACACUGGUACUGAGACACGGACCAGACUCCUACGGGAGGCAGCAGUGAGGAAUAUUGGACAAUGGGCGCAAGCCUGAUCCAGCCAUGCCGCGUGCAGGAUGACGGUCCUAUGGAUUGUAAACUGCUUUUAUACGGGAAGAAACCACCCUACGUGUAGGGUACUGACGGUACCGUAAGAAUAAGGAUCGGCUAACUCCGUGCCAGCAGCCGCGGUAAUACGGAGGAUCCAAGCGUUAUCCGGAAUCAUUGGGUUUAAAGGGUCCGUAGGCGGCCUUAUAAGUCAGUGGUGAAAUCUCCCGGCUCAACCGGGAAAUGGCCAUUGAUACUGUAGGGCUUGAAUUAUUAGGAAGUAACUAGAAUAUGUAGUGUAGCGGUGAAAUGCUUAGAUAUUACAUGGAAUACCGAUUGCGAAGGCAGGUUACUACUAAUUGAUUGACGCUGAUGGACGAAAGCGUGGGUAGCGAACAGGAUUAGAUACCCUGGUAGUCCACGCCGUAAACGAUGGAUACUAGCUGUUGGGAGCAAUCUCAGUGGCUAAGCGAAAGUGAUAAGUAUCCCACCUGGGGAGUACGAACGCAAGUUUGGAACUCAAAGGAAUUGACGGGGGCCCGCACAAGCGGUGGAGCAUGUGGUUUAAUUCGAUGAUACGCGAGGAACCUUACCAAGGCUUAAAUGUAGAUU
rnacentral:rRNA from 1 species